GACAGAGGGGGCAAGCGUUGCUCGGAAUUACUGGGCGUAAAGGGCGCGUAGGCGGGCUGGCAAGUCGGUCGUGAAAUACCUCGGCUCAACUGAGGAGCGUCGAUCGAAACUGCCGUUCUUGAGGGUUGCAGAGGAGACUGGAAUUCCCGGUGUAGCGGUGAAAUGUGUAGAGAUCGGGAGGAACACCGGUGGCGAAGGCGGGUCUCUGGGCAAUUCCUGACGCUGAGGCACGAAGGCCAGGGGAGCAAACGGG
rnacentral:rRNA from 1 species